GUUGUUCGGAAUUACUGGGCGUAAAGGGUUUGUAGGUGGCCUUCUAAGUCAGACGUGAAAUCCCUCAGCUUAACUGGGGAACUGCGUCUGAUACUGGUUGGCUUGAGUGCAGGAGAGGAACGCGGAAUUCCAGGUGUAGCGGUGAAAUGCGUAGAUAUCUGGAGGAACACCGGUGGCGAAGGCGGCGUUCUGGACUGCAACUGACAGUGAGAAACGAAAGCCAGGGUAGCAAACGGG
rnacentral:rRNA from 1 species